GACGAACGCUGGCGGCGUGCUUAACACAUGCAAGUCGAACGCUGAAGCUCAGCUUUUGUUGGGUGGAUGAGUGGCGAACGGGUGAGUAACACGUGAGUAACCUGCCUCCUUCUUUGGGAUAACGCCCGGAAACGGGUGCUAAUACUGGAUAUUCACUGGUCUUCGCAUGGGGGUUGGUGGAAAGGGUUUUUCUGGUGGGGGAUGGGCUCGCGGCCCAUCAGCUUGUUGGUGGGGUGAUGGCCUACCAAGGCUUUGACGGGUAGCCGGCCUGAGAGGGUGACCGGUCACAUUGGGACUGAGAUACGGCCCAGACUCCUACGGGAGGCAGCAGUGGGGAAUAUUGCACAAUGGGCGCAAGCCUGAUGCAGCGACGCCGCGUGAGGGAUGGAGGCCUUCGGGUUGUGAACCUCUUUCGCUCAUGGUCAAGCCGCAACAAUGGUUGUGGUGAGGGUAGUGGGUAAAGAAGCGCCGGCUAACUACGUG
rnacentral:rRNA from 1 species